GCAGUGGCGGCGCUCAAGCAGAAUCAGACGUUACGAGAACUGUUCCUGUCUGACAACAAGCUGACACCGUCUGAUGGCAUGCAGGUUGGCAGCCUGCUGCGAGUCAACUCCUCUUUACAGCUGCUCGACCUGAGAAACAACAAUCUACAGGACGUGGGGCUGUCCUAUCUGGGGGAUGGACUGUCGGAGCAGACGAAGGAGAGCGGGCUUCAGACGCUGGUGCUGUGGAACAAUGGUGUGACGCACGCGGGCACGCCGCAGCUAGCUAACGUACUGGCGAAGUCUAAGCAUCUAUAGAGACGGUGGAAGCCUAAGGCAUAACA